rnacentral:rRNA from 1 species
ACCUACGGGUGGCAGCAGUGGGGAAUAUUGGACAAUGGGGGAAACCCUGAUCCAGCAAUGCCGCGUGAGUGAAGAAGGCCUUCGGGUUGUAAAGCUCUUUUGCCUGUGACGAUGAUGACAGUAACAGGAGAAUAAGCCCCGGCUAACUCCGUGCCAGCAGCCGCGGUAAGACGGAGGGGGCUAGCGUUGUUCGGAAUGACUGGGCGUAAAGGGCGCGUAGGCGGCAAAUCAAGUCAGGUGUGAAAGCCUUGGGCUCAACCCAAGAAUUGCGCUUGAUACUGGUUAGCUAGAGGAUGGAAGAGAAAAGCGGAAUUCCUAGUGUAGAGGUGAAAUUCGUAGAUAUUAGGAAGAACACCAGAGGCGAAGGCGGCUUUUUGGUCCAUAUCUGACGCUGAGGCGCGAAAGCGUGGGGAGCAAACAGGAUUAGAUACCCUAGUAGUCCCA